GAUGAAAGCUGGCGGCGUGCUUAACACAUGCCAGUCGAACGGAAAGGCCAGUGCUUGCACUGGUACUCGAGUGGCGAACGGGUGAGUAACACGUGGGUGAUCUGCCCUGCACUUCGGGAUAAGCCUGGGAAACUGGGUCUAAUACCGGAUAGGACAAUGGUUUGGAUGCCGUUGUGGAAAGUUUUUUCGGUGUGGGAUGAGCUCGCGGCCUAUCAGCUUGUUGGUGGGGUAAUGGCCUACCAAGGCGUCGACGGGUAGCCGGCCUGAGAGGGUGUACGGCCACAUUGGGACUGAGAUACGGCCCAGACUCCUACGGGAGGCAGCAGUGGGGAAUAUUGCACAAUGGGCGCAAGCCUGAUGCAGCGACGCCGCGUGGGGGAUGACGGCCUUCGGGUUGUAAACUCCUUUCGCUAGGGACGAAGCGUAUUUGUGACGGUACCUGGAGAAGAAGCACCGGCUAACUACGUG
rnacentral:rRNA from 1 species